UACGUAGGUCGCAAGCGUUGUCCGGAAUUAUUGGGCGUAAAGAGCUCGUAGGCGGUUUGUCGCGUCUGCUGUGAAAUCCCGAGGCUCAACCUCGGGCUUGCAGUGGGUACGGGCAGACUAGAGUGCGGUAGGGGAGACUGGAAUUCCUGGUGUAGCGGUGGAAUGCGCAGAUAUCAGGAGGAACACCGAUGGCGAAGGCAGGUCUCUGGGCCGCAACUGACGCUGAGGAGCGAAAGCAUGGGGAGCGAACAGG
rnacentral:rRNA from 1 species